UUGACUCUGACAGACUUCAGAUAUUUGAAGACAGUCAAUACUUGCUCCUUUAGUAUUUUGUCCCCUAUAUAUAUAUCAGCAGUUUUUUCCAACAGUUCUCAGAUGAGAAGAUUUUCAGUGCUCUACCCAUCCUGAAAGCUCCCCUCAAGACGUAUCCUGGUAUAUUAAUGCCUCUGUAAAGACUGUCCAGAAUUGCCUACUAUGUUUUCAGAGUGGUUCAAUCUAGCUGGUCAGGACAGGAGGGACCAUUUCAUGCCGGAUUCCUCAUCUUUAUUACCUAACGCUGGCUCGGCACAUAAUUCUGGGAUUCAUGCAGCUUUGCCUUGUUGAGAUUAAAUUUGCAGGCUUACUUUCAUCUUCGGAUCAAGCCAAGACAGGCAUGCGGCUACUAGUAACAAAUCACCAAAUAUCAAAGCCUAGCGCAACAAAAACUAAUUUAUGCUCUUGUGAAAUCCGAGGGAGACUGAUGAAGGCCACGUAUAACUCACUAGUGUGUUCUGUUAACUACUUUUUUUCAUGUAAUCUUUCUCUCACACAGGCUAAGAUAAUUAAAUCGUGACUUAAACUUUGGCAUGUGUAUUGUACCUUCAAGAGAGAGGAAUUAUGGUUUCCCCCUUCAACUUUGCUGUUA